rnacentral:rRNA from 1 species
UACGGAGGAUGCAAGCGUUAUCCGGAAUGAUUGGGCGUAAAGCGUCCGCAGGUGGCUGUGUAAGUCUGCUGUUAAAGAGUGAGGCUCAACCUCAUAAAGGCAGUGGAAACUACAUGGCUAGAGUGCGUUCGGGGCAGAGGGAAUUCCUGGUGUAGCGGUGAAAUGCGUAGAGAUCGGGAAGAACAUCGGUGGCGAAAGCGCUCUACUGGACCGCAACUGACACUGAGGGACGAAAGCUAGGGGAGCGAAUGGG